rnacentral:lncRNA from 1 species
UACCUGAAAAAUGAUUAAAAACUCUUUCACACAUUAUAAAAUGUUAUGGCAACCAAAUAUGAUGUAGUUUGAGAACUUCCACACAAGACAGUAACUUUUGGUGGUUUUUAGACAGGAAUGUGCCUGGCUUUCUUCCUAGUGUUAUGGCAACCAAAUAUUAUGUGGUUUAAGAACUUCCACACAAGACAGUAACUUUUGGAGGUUUUUAGACAGGAAUGUGCCUGGCUUUCUUCCUAGUGUUGGGCCGCUAAAGCAUAGAAUGUCAGUAAAGUAAAUAUAGCAUAAAUAAGGAUAUUCGAGCAUCUCCAAGAGACUCUAAAUAAAGAACCAAAAUAGAAAGCAUUGUUGUAGUGCAUAAAUAAUAUUACUCUCUAAAUUUAACGAUGCUCUUUAUAUUUAGAGUAUCUUGAAGAUGCUUUUAGGAUGGAUGUUGGUUACAAGAAUGAAUAAGAAGAGAAAUAAGUAUAUGCACACAAGAAGUGGAAGGCCAAGAAGUAAUGAUAAAUUAAUGGGAGAUAUGUUUAGCAUAGGCAUAAAGAAAGUCCAUUACCAAGAGCGAUUAGGAAGAGUUAGACAAACAUUAAUGUGACUCAAGGUCGUCACAAAAUUUAUUGGCCCUUAAAUUGAAUGAAGUGGCAAACAGGGUUCAUGUAGUUGAUCUAAAAUUUACUAGGUAUAACUCUCAGCUUGUUAUUUGAGACAAGACUGCACACAACCAUGAGGGUAAUUUAGGAUUAGGAUAAUAGCACUUAAAUAUUUAGACAUAUUUGCAAAUGACAAAGGAGACAAAACUUUCUGCCUGAGCAGAUGACUAAGUUUGGUAAUAUACUCAACAUGUAUGCAGAGAUUACUGCAAUCAAAUAGCUGGAGUAAUGUUAGCAUGCACAAGAAAACACAUAAUGCUUGUAAAUAAAGUGGGAGGGGCUAUUCAAGUACAAAUUGACAGAGUCAAUUAGGCCAACUUAACAUAAUUACACUACAGAAUAAAAAUCAGAAGUGAACUGAUAAUUACAGACAGAAGCUUAUAGUUUUUAAGAAUCUGAAAAUGCUUGCCAAACAAACAAUUUCAAUGAAAUCACUGUUUUUUUAUUUUACCAAGUUCAACUCUAUGAAUUCCUUUUUUGUUAGGAUUCAAAACUAAGGAGUGUAAAUGAUUUUUUUCUUUUAACACGGAAAUCUUACACAAUA